UACGAAGGGGGCUAGCGUUGCUCGGAAUCACUGGGCGUAAAGCGCACGUAGGCGGACUCUUAAGUCGGUGGUGAAAUCCUGGAGCUCAACUCCAGAACUGCCUUUGAUACUGAGAGUCUCGAGUCCGAGAGAGGUGAGUGGAACUGCGAGUGUAGAGGUGAAAUUCGUAGAUAUUCGCAAGAACACCAGUGGCGAAGGCGGCUCACUGGCUCGGUACUGACGCUGAGGUGCGAAAGCGUGGGGAGCAAACAGG
rnacentral:rRNA from 1 species